UCAAGAUCUCGCGAUGUGAGGCCUCUGGGAAGAGUGGUUUCUCCCAAGAUCCAGCAGAUCCGGCUUUCUCCAGGCAGAGUCGUCUCUCCUGCAGCACCUGCUACUCGCUGCUGUUUCAGCUGUCCUCUGAGCCACCCCGGUGCUUAGCAAAUCCCAGCCCUACCGCUUCCUGCCCCAGAUAUUGAUGUCAGAUAUCCAAUAUAUAUUCACUAAAUUAUCUUCAUUCUCUUGGAAGAAAGGACCUUACAUUUUUUAAAGUCCAGUAUAGACAAUUUCUCCCCUCACUAAAACAUAACCUAGCUCAUCCUCCACCCCCUCACUUAGGAAUGGCCUGGAAAAAAUACAGAUGAGGCCAUUAUCUUUCCAGGCCAAACAAGAGGAAAACAAUAAAAGAAACAUUUAAAGUAUGAAGUUUUGAUCAGCUGUCUUGGGUAGAAAAGCAGUCUAUGUCAAUGUCAGGUAUUUAUUUUCCUCAGCAGUUAGAUUUAGAGAUCUCCAGCAUCUGUACAGGACCAGGUAUCAGGUAUGUGGUGUGUACCCAAGCCUUAAUACCUUCUGGUUUUAAAGCAUUAUCAGUAGUCACGAGCACUUGGUAAGGUCUUUUCCAGGUGGGCAUGAGAGCUGUUCUGCUCUGAUAAAGUUUCCAAAAUGAUCCUCAGGCCAAUAGGUUGUGAUCAACAAGAUCCUUCAAACUGGAAUCCAGGAAGACUUCAUUAAUCUGCUAAUAGUUGUGAGCAUAGGAUAUUAGAGACUUACAGUAGCCGCUCAUACCAGCAUAAUCCCCUCUAUAUCCAUUCAUAUCGUCAAAAAUGCAAAUUCUCAUUCUUUUUUAUGGCUGAAUAAUAUUCCUCUGUGUGUGUGUGUGUGUGUGUGUGUGUGUGUGUGUGUGUAUCACAUCUCUUUAUCCAUUUGUCUAUUGAUGGAAAUUUGGGUUAUUUCUAUAUCUUGACUAUUAUAAGUGACAUUGCAAUAACAUAGGAGUGUUUAUAUCUUUUUUGGAUGUAAUAUUUUCAUUUUCCUUGGGUAAAUACCCAGUGGUGGAAGUACUCAGUCCUAUGGCAUUUCCAUGUUUAAUUUUCAGAGGAAUCACUAUACUGUUUUCCACAGUGGCCAUACCAGUUUACAUUGCCACCAACAGUGCAAGAGGAUUCCUUCUCUACAUC